GAGGGAAGAAAAGUAAAGUUAAAGUAAGAGAAAAGAAAUAAAGAUAAGAGGGGAAGGACAGUGANGACGAGAUGAAGAGGUGGACAGGAGGAUAGGAGAGCUGCGGGUGACACGCUCCAGCAAAGNUNUAUUUAAAAUUUAGUCCCGGUUCAGGAUGUAAGCCGGCGGCUUCCUAAAUCAUGCCAGUCGGACGAACCAGAAGAGGGGCUUGUUCCUCGGAGUUAGCGGGCGGACGGGUGAGUAACACGUGGAUACCCUACCUAUAAGACUGGGAUAACUUCGGGAAACCGGAGCUAAUACCGGAUAACAUGUUGAACCGCAUGGUUCAACAGUGAAAGACGGUCUUGCUGUCACUUAUAGAUGGAUCCGCGCCGCAUUAGCUAGUUGGUAAGGUAACGGCUUACCAAGGCAACGAUGCGUAGCCGACCUGAGAGGGUGAUCGGCCACACUGGAACUGAGACACGGUCCAGACUCCUACGGGAGGCAGCAGUAGGGAAUCUUCCGCAAUGGGCGAAAGCCUGACGGAGCAACGCCGCGUGAGUGAAGAAGGUCUUCGGAUCGUAAAACUCUGUUAUUAGGGAAGAACAAAUGUGUAAGUAACUAUGCACGUCUUGACGGUACCUAAUCAGAAAGCCACGGCUAACUACGUGCCAGCAGCCGCGGUAAUACGUAGGUGGCAAGCGUUAUCCGGAAUUAUUGGGCGUAAAGCGCGCGUAGGCGGUUUUUUAAGUCUGAUGUGAAAGCCCACGGCUCAACCGUGGAGGGUCAUUGGAAACUGGAAAACUUGAGUGCAGAAGAGGAAAGUGGAAUUCCAUGUGUAGCGGUGAAAUGCGCAGAGAUAUGGAGGAACACCAGUGGCGAAGGCGACUUUCUGGUCUGUAACUGACGCUGAUGUGCGAAAGCGUGGGGAU
rnacentral:rRNA from 1 species